ensembl:lncRNA novel transcript, antisense to SLC38A11 and SCN3A
GCCAUCUUCAAAGGUACUGCCUACCUGAACCUGCCUUGUCCCAAAGGACACACUUCAAUCUGGGGAGAGUUUAAAGUUGUAGACAUAUCCAUUUUCAUUUAAGGAAUAUGAAGAUCAGGGAGGCAAAAUAUAGAGAUAUAGAGAGGAAAAACUGAGAGAUGAUCAGAAAUUCAGACGCAUUCGGAAUGAGCACCCUUGACCAUACCAAGAACAAAGACUCUAUAAAAAUGUGAAGUCUUAUUAUUGUUCAUCCAUGUUCUACGUGGGAUCCACCCAAGACAUUGAAAACUGUACAGAACAGGGUGAAAUUGAAUCAGAUCAUUCUGUACUCCUAACAAGGUCCACCCCAUGAGAGACUUGCAGCAGAAUUAAUGACACUGUAUAUUUUCCUCUACUAACAACAACAAGAACAACAACAACAACAAUCUAGGAAAAUCAAAGGCAGCCCGACAUGGAAAAAAACACAAAAUGAAUAUUUGGAUUACAAAUAGUGUGAUGGGAAGAACACACUGCCAAAAGUCCACCUAGUAUGUUGAAAUUACUGUUUCUAGCACAUAUAAGUCAACUUACCUAUAAAAGGAUACAAAAACUGAAGAACAGAGAGGAGCAGAUACCCUGGAAAGCCGAAAGUUUUAUUGACCAAAGACUGAGUCUCGGAAUGUUUUGAUUGUGGAGUUUAUAGAGUUCAGGCUGAAGUUUUAUAAAAAUAACUUGCAGCAGCAUGGAGGACUGAUGAGAAAGUAGACAGAUGCUGGAAGCAGGAAAACUGAACAGCAGGUCACUGGCCAAGGAGAAUCAAAGAGCUAGAUGCUGAGAAUAAUGCAGCCAUAACGUGAAAUCUUUUUGAGGCUCCGUGGUGGUCUUAAAAUAUAUCCACAAAUUUUCUGACAUCCUCUCUUCAAGAAGUGGAGCUUAAUUCCCUUUCCUUUGAGUGCAGACCACUCACUCUGGGAGAAAGCAACUGGCUAUGUCAUGAGGAAAUUGAAACCACCUAUGGAGAAAGGCCCACAUGGUGAGAAAGUAAAGCCUCUUCCCAAUACCAAAAUUCUGUAAGUCUGCUACGGUGACAUUUCUGGUUAGGAGUCAGAGUGGAUGGGACACUGAGCAAUAAGGCAAAGUUGGACAUCCCAAAGAUGGCAUAGAUAAACAUGACCAGGAAGAGCAGGAGGCCGAUGUUAAACAACGCAGGAAGGGACAUCAUCAAAGCAAAGAGCAGCGUGCGGAUCCCCUUUGCUCCUUUGAUCAGACGUAGGAUUCGGCCAAUCCUGGCAAGACGGAUCACUCGGAACAAGACCCACCUAGGAUGCAUCACCUUUAUCUCUGGAAGCCUGUGUUAACUCAUUCCAGCAGAGAUGGCUACUUCCUCUUCAGUGCUUCUUACAAUACCAACUUUAUUGCAUUACAAUGAUUUGUUUUUUAAGCCAUCUGCCUCUUUUAGCCUGUGACCUUGGUUUAAGAUUAGGAGAGUACCUGAUAAUGUUUAUUUCCUGUCUUCUUCACCUCUUUCCCAAAUCUGGUAUUCCUAACAUGGUUUCUAACUAGUUAGCUUUGUGAAUAAACCCAGGUUUCAGAGUUUUUAUUCAAAUAUGCUAGUGUUGAACUUUACAUCUAUAUGCAUUAUUAUUCUCAGACCUAAUUUCCAUGUUAAUCAGCUAGAAGGUCCUGGGGCAACUGUUUCUCUGUAACUAUACCUCUUGGUAAUUAAGCUGUUCUUACCUACAAUGGAGAGAAUCACCACCACAAAGUCAAAGAUGUUCCAGCCUAUAGUGAAGUAGUAGUGUCUGAGGGAGACGAGCUUCAGCACAAAUUCUCCAGUGAACAGAACAAUGAACACUAGGUUGAUCCGGGACAAAACUAGGGUCAUGUAUUUGCCCUGGUCAUCCGUUUCCACCAUCAUGGUGACCAUGUUGAGGCAGAUGAGGAUCAUGAUGCUGAUAUCAAAGACUUGUCUGGUUACAAAAUCAAAGACCAUUCCUUGGAAUUUGUUCUAGAAAGUGAGAGAAGAGAAAUAAGGUUACUAUAUAUAUUUCAUAAAGAAUAAUGCAGUAAAAUUGUAGAUAAAGCCCUUCCACAUACGGGAUGGAUGUGCACCCUCCUCAUAUUACCCCAAACAAUUUUGUGUGCUUUUUUUCUCUUCAUGUUAAAAAAAAUGGAAAAAAAAUUUAUAUAGCUAAACAAAGCAUAUUUGGUUUAUAUAGGUCCUAUGGAAAGACAAAGCUGGAUGAGACAUAAAUUAAGGCUGGGCGUGGCAACUCAUGCCUGUAAUUCCAGCACUUUAGGAGGCUGAGACUGGAGGCUCUCUUGAGGCCAAGAGUUCCAGACCAGCCUGGGCAACAUAGUGAGACCUCAUUUCUAUUAAAAAAAAAUUAGCCUGGUAUGGUGGCACAGGCUUGCAGUCCCAGCUACGAGGGAGGCUGAGGUGAAUCACUUGACCCCAGGUGUUUGAACUUGCAGUGAGCUAUGGUCUUGCCACUGUACUCCAGCCUGAGAGACAGAGUGAGACCCUGUCUCUUAAAAAACAAAACAAAAACAAACACAUAAAUUUGUGACAAUUGGCUGAUAAUAUAUGUAGUCUUUGCUUGAUUUGAAUAAGUAUGAUAAUUUUUAUAAAAAAUAGUGACUACUAAUAACAAAGAUUUACAAAGCAGGUUAAUAUCAACAGAUAUUUAGAUAGAGAAUACACCAAUUCAUUUAUCAAUAUUUUAGAAAUUUUGGUUUAUACCUUAUUUCCCUCCCCUGAAAUACAUCAGUCAUAUUUCUAUUGAAUUCUACCUCUCUAGCUCUGUGAAUCUAUGUAUGGGCUUGUUAAUUUAUCUGUAUUUCUUUCCAUCUGUCCUUCUUUACCUAUGCCCU